ensembl:lncRNA
CUGGCAAGCACAGUCACUGCUGAAACAGCAACAGGCUUCAGAUCUUUCUUAAGAAACAAAAGAAAAAAAACACACCGACAAAUGAGAUCAAGUACAACCCUACAGUUUAGAAGUAAUACAAAGGGAUCGUUGCUGAACAAUUCUGAAUGCUCUGAAUAGGUACCCAGACUGGAUGAGCACAGCGUGAAGCAGCCCAUCAGGCUCAACCUGCCCCAAAGGGUGGGGUUCCAAGGGUUCCGUGGCUAUAUUGCUCGGGGACUGACCACUCACUGCCCCUGAUGCUGGUGAGUCUCAGGAGCAACUCCAUCUGGGCUUUGUCUCCACCUCGUCACCAGACUCUUCUUGUCAAGGUUAUCUGAGAUCUCCACUUUGCCGAAUCCAGUGUCCAAGUCCUGGUUGCUAUGGGCUUGACCUGUCACAUCGUGUGAUGGAGCUGACUGCUCUGUGCCUGAGGCACCCCUCCCUUUUCCUGUGCAUAGCUCUCCUCUCUCAGGGGCCGCUCUUGAAUGGUCCAGAGCUUGCCCUCAGAGGGUUACUUUUCUCCUCUAUUCACCCUCACUCCCUAGGUCCUCGCUUCUGGUCUCACGGCUUUUCACACCAACUGUAUGCUGAUGACGCCCAAAGCUUUAUUUCCAGCCCAACCUCUCUCCUAAACUUCCUUCUCGACGGCUCCUCCAGGAAGUCUGCCAGGGGCCUCAAGCUUAGUCCAUCCAGACUGUUCCCAUUUAUCCAUCUGAUUAUCCUGCAGUGCCAUCAUCUUGGAAAUUGCUACUCCUUCUUCCAGUAACCAAGGCAAACACACAGCAAGGCUUGUCUUUCUCUCAUAUCCCACCACCAAAGCAUUAGCAAAGUCUUUGAGUCUACCUUGAAAAUAUACACAGAAUCUGACCACUUGUCACCACCUGCACGUCAACACCCUGGUCCAAGGCGCCACCACCUCUUGCUGGGAUUAUUUCUACAGCUCCUAAUUGGCAUCCCAAUUCCUGUCAUGGCCCUUCCAUAGACCAUUUUCAAUACAGCCUCCAAAGACAAUCUUUUAAAGCCUAAGUCAGACACAUAACCUCCUCCCUGGGGCUUUCCAGUGAUGCUCCAUUUCACUCUGAGUAACAGCCAAAACCUACAAAGUGGCCUCGAGAACAACCCGUGCUUGUCCCUGUUACUGCUUCCAACUCAUGUCCAGCUACUUGCGCCCUCACUCAAUUCUCCCUGCCCAUUGGCCCCUCUCUGUUCCUUGGCCACAUGAGAUCCAAGCCCACUUCUAGAACUUCACCCUUGGUGACCCCCCUCCCUGGAAGAUUCUUCCACCAGUUGAUCUCCAGUCUUCCAGUCUCUCCUGAAAUGUCACUGCAUCAGCAGAUCCUUCCCUGGUGCUUUCUAAAGGAAAGCACCCCACCACCUCCCACAAACACACACACUCAGCAGUCUUAUCCCCUUUGUCCCAUUUAGUUUUUCCAUUUGCAUAUCACAACUUGUCAUCUGCAUGUGAACUUGCUCAGUUUUUUUAAAAUGGCCAUUUUCUCUCCUGAUGGCCACAAAGACAAGGACUUUGAUUUGUUCGCUCAUCUAUCUCCAGUACCCAGAGCCAUGCUUGACAAAGACCAGACUCAAAAAUAUUUUUUGAAUGAAUUAUCUAAUUCGAGCCUUGAUUAAUAUUCUUUUGGGGCUGGGCGUGGUGGCUCACGCCUGUAAUCCCAACACUUGGGGAGGCCGAGGUGGGUGGAUCACUUGAGGUCAGGAGUUCAAAACCAGCCUGGCCAAUAUGGCAAAACCCCAUUUCUACUAAAAAUAUAAAAAUUAGUUGGGUAUGGUGGCCUGUGCCUGCAAUCCUAGAUAUUCAGGAGGUGGAGGCAGGAGAAUGGCUUGAACCCAGGAGGUAGAGGUUGCAGUGAGCUGAGAUUGCACUCUAGCCUGGGCAACAGAGUGAAACUCUGUCUCAAAAAAAAAAAAAAAAAA